rnacentral:rRNA from 1 species
UCGAGGAUCUUCGGCAAUGGGCGCAAGCCUGACCGAGCGACGCCGCGUGGGCGAUGAAGGCCUUCGGGUUGUAAAGCCCUGUCGUGAAGGGGGAACUCUGACCCCCUUCAGGAGGAAGCACGGGCUAAGUUCGUGCCAGCAGCCGCGGUAAGACGAACCGUGCGAACGUUGUUCGGAAUCACUGGGCUUAAAGGGCGCGUAGGCGGGCCGGCCGGUCGGAGGUGAAAGCCCCCAGCUCAACUGGGGAAGCGCCCCCGAUACCGCCGGCCUCGAGGGGGGUAGGGGCGUGCGGAACUUCCGGUGGAGCGGUGAAAUGCGUAGAUAUCGGAAGGAACACCGGUGGCGAAGGCGGCACGCUGGGCCCGCCCUGACGCUGAGGCGCGAAAGCCAGGGGAGCGAACGG